GUGCCAGCAGCCGCGGUAAUACGUAGGGUCCAAGCGUUAAUCGGAAUUACUGGGCGUAAAGCGUGCGCAGGCGGUUGUGCAAGACCGAUGUGAAAUCCCCGGGCUUAACCUGGGAAUUGCAUUGGUGACUGCACGGCUAGAGUGUGUCAGAGGGGGGUAGAAUUCCACGUGUAGCAGUGAAAUGCGUAGAGAUGUGGAGGAAUACCGAUGGCGAAGGCAGCCCCCUGGGAUAACACUGACGCUCAUGCACGAAAGCGUGGGGAGCAAACAGGAUUAGAUACCCUGGUAGUCCACGCCCUAAACGAUGUCAACUAGUUGUUGGGGAUUCAUUUCCUUAGUAACGUAGCUAACGCGUGAAGUUGACCGCCUGGGGAGUACGGUCGCAAGAUUAAAACUCAAAGGAAUUGACGGGGACCCGCACAAGCGGUGGAUGAUGUGGAUUAAUUCGAUGCAACGCGAAGAACCUUACCAGGA
rnacentral:rRNA from 1 species